AUUGAACGCUGGCGGCAUGCCUUACACAUGCAAGUCGAACGGCAGCACGGGAGCAAUCCUGGUGGCGAGUGGCGAACGGGUGAGUAAUAUAUCGGAACGUGCCCAGUCGUGGGGGAUAACGCAGCGAAAGCUGUGCUAAUACCGCAUACGAUCUACGGAUGAAAGCGGGGGAUCGCAAGACCUCGCGCGAUUGGAGCGGCCGAUAUCAGAUUAGCUAGUUGGUGGGGUAAAAGCCCACCAAGGCGACGAUCUGUAGCUGGUCUGAGAGGACGACCAGCCACACUGGGACUGAGACACGGCCCAGACUCCUACGGGAGGCAGCAGUGGGGAAUUUUGGACAAUGGGCGAAAGCCUGAUCCAGCAAUGCCGCGUGCAGGAAGAAGGCCUUCGGGUUGUAAACUGCUUUUGUACGGAGCGAAAAGGUCCUUUCUAAUACAGGGGGCUCAUGACGGUACCGUAAGAAUAAGCACCGGCUAACUACGUGCCAGCAGCCGCCGUAA
rnacentral:rRNA from 1 species